CGCCUCUGGCCGCGGCGGCCGCCGCCUCGCUCCGCCCCGGGGAACUGAGCGCGCGGCCAGCCAGCCUGCCAGAGAGACGCCAGCCGCCGGCGGCGCUAGCACCUCGGAGGAGGGUAGCCGAAGCGAGUGGAGCGCAGCGCUGGGAGCCGGACUGGGGGUGGGGAAACCAGCCCGGUCCAGGCGAGGGCCACCCCCGGUCCUCUGCCCUCRCGCCCCGCCAGGGCCAGUUCUCUCCCCAUCCUCUAAACUCCUGAGCUUGGAGAAAGUGAAGUCUAAAAACCAGUCUUUCUCUAUGUGAAUGCCAAACCUUGUGGAGAAUUUGUGUGGUGGAGUUUCUCUCAUCUCAGGUGCUGGUAAGAACACGCAGACGUAUCCAAAGCUGUCUUUGAAAAAGUUUCUAUGAUGAACCUACAAAAAGAUAAAUAAAUGACUGUUAGUAGCACUUUCUUCUUGGCA
rnacentral:lncRNA from 1 species